rnacentral:rRNA from 2 species
GCGAAUACCGGAGAAUGUUAUCACGGGAGACACACGGCGGGUGCUAACGUCCGUCGUGAAGAGGGAAACAACCCAGACCGCCAGCUAAGGUCCCAAAGUCAUGGUUAAGUGGGAAACGAUGUGGGAAGGCCCAGACAGCCAGGAUGUUGGCUUAGAAGCAGCCAUCAUUUAAAGAAAGCGUAAUAGCUCACUGGUCGAGUCGGCCUGCGCGGAAGAUGUAACGGGGCUAAACCAUGCACCGAAGCUGCGGCAGCGACACUCAGGUGUUGUUGGGUAGGGGAGCGUUCUGUAAGCCUGCGAAGGUGGCCUGUGAGGGUUGCUGGAGGUAUCAGAAGUGCGAAUGCUGACAUAAGUAACGAUAAAGCGGGUGAAAAGCCCGCUCGCCGGAAGACCAAGGGUUCCUGUCCAACGUUAAUCGGGGCAGGGUGAGUCGACCCCUAAGGCGAGGCCGAAAGGCGUAGUCGAUGGGAAACGGGUUAAUAUUCCCGUACUUGGUGUUACUGCGAAGGGGGGACGGAGAAGGCUAUGUUGGCCGGGCGACGGUUGUCCCGGUUUAAGCGUGUAGGUGUGUGUUCCAGGUAAAUCCGGUUCACUUUAACACUGAGGCGUGA